rnacentral:lncRNA from 1 species
GCAUGUCUCUUCCAAAGUCACUUCCCCACUUAAAUUGACAAGAAGCAGGAAGAUCUACCGGACAGAUGGAGAAGAGUGAUGUAAAAGAGGAUGCAUGGAAAGAGGCCAUUUUGGAGUCAGAUGGAUCUGAUUUUGAAUUCCAACUUUAUUACCUACCAACUCUGUGAACUGUAAGCAAGUUUCCUCAUUUGUAAAUGGGGGUAAAUUACCCUUCUCAGCAUGAUUGUGCAUCUUAAAUGGAAAAAACAGCAUGAAAGUAUUUAUCCCAGUACCUCAUACAUUAAAGAUACUUAGAUAAAGUCUCUUCACUUCUUCUUUCUUUAUCUUCCCUUUGACACAAGUCUACCUAGGCUGAUUAUGUUGAACCUUUGAGAGAUGAUCAGAGAAAAAUGGAGCGACAGAGAGAGAGAGAGAGAGGCAGAGGAAGGCAGUGGGCAAAGACAGAAGUGAGUCAGAGGAAAAUCUGAUGGUGGUUAUAGAGUAAUGAAAUAGCUGUUAUUGACCACAGUCAAAACACAGCCUAGUCUUUAAGCCUUGCAUUAGGCAUUCUUUUUCCUCUGCCCAAUCCACACGUGUAACACAGCCAUAAAUCACUGUCCUUCAUAAGCAACAGACAGUAAGUGCCAUGAGCAGUAGUGACAAUAUUUAUCACCAGGUAAGCAGUUCCAUAUAGGGGUUGCUUGGGCCAAGCUCCUAACCAUUUGGAAGAACUGCAACCACUAUGCCUCAUGCCUUCUGUCCUAGGCUUUUUUGGAAUAAGGGGUGUGAAAACAAGGCUGGCCACGGAAUGUAAAGCAACUGGCUUCUAGUUCACCUUUUAUGUGGUCACAAUGGAGACAGGGACUCAAUGAGAUUGUCACUUGAUGUCCCUUCCAGUGUUUCAUAGAUCUGGGGCUCUGGGGCUCAUUGGAAGUACAUUUUAUCUCAUUUAAGCAGUUAGUGAUACAUUUGAUCAACCAUUCUGCUUCUAAGGAGAUUUUACUUGAUCUCAUCUUUGGUGAUGCUAAGACAAAUUAUUUUUUUGUAAUGGGUUGAGCUACAAAUUUGAGGUGGAAAUAAGAUAUUUUUAAUUGGUUUAAUGAUUUACACUAGUUCCCAGUUGCCUUAAUAACAUGAAUUCUAACUUUUGAGACUUCUCUCUUCUUCUGAUUUGUUCAAAACCUACAAGGCUCAAGUGUCCUAAAAAGAAAAGUUAGUCCAAGGUAUAAUAUAGGUCUGAAACUCUUCCAAGGGGUUAUUUGUUACUAACUUCAUCCUUAGAGGGCUGUGAGCAUUUUUCUUUGAAAUCCUAGAAGCAAUCUCUCUGUCUUUCUUUCUCAUCUACCCUAUUUUUCUCCCUUUUUUAAAUCUUUCCUUAAAAAUGCUAUGUUAAAAUUUCCCAACCUUCACCAAACUUGAAGCUAGGCAGAGGCAAGGAAAUACCAUAGGUUGACAAAUUAGAUAAGCUAAACUCUUAUUCUUAGGGAGAAAGUCCUUUAUCUCCGAUGUAUCUUUCUUUGAGUUUCUCUUUGAACUUGGCUUUUCUCAUCACAGAGGUGAUGCACUGGUAUAGGGAAAAGUAGUCAACCACGUGGCCCAGUUUAGUUCACUAUGUAAUCAUUCUGGA